rnacentral:rRNA from 1 species
GAUGAACGCUGGCGGCGUGCCUAAUACAUGCAAGUCGAGCGAACAGACGAGGAGCUUGCUCCUCUGACGUUAGCGGCGGACGGGUGAGUAACACGUGGAUAACCUACCUAUAAGACUGGGAUAACUUUGGGAAACCGGAGCUAAUACCGGAUAAUAUAUUGAACCGCAUGGUUCAAUAGUGAAAGACGGUUUUGCUGUCACUUAUAGAUGGGUCCGCGCCGCAUUAGCUAGUUGGUAAGGUAACGGCUUACCAAGGCGACGAUGCGUAGCCGACCUGAGAGGGUGAUCGGCCACACUGGAACUGAGACACGGUCCAGACUCCUACGGGAGGCAGCAGUAGGGAAUCUUCCGCAAUGGGCGAAAGCCUGACGGAGCAACGCCGCGUGAGUGAUGAAGGUCUUCGGAUCGUAAAACUCUGUUAUUAGGGAAGAACAAAUGUGUAAGUAACUAUGCACGUCUUGACGGUACCUAAUCAGAAAGCCACGGCUAACUACGUG